GACGAACGCUGGCGGCGUGCUUAACACAUGCAAGUCGAACGGAAAGGCCUGCUUUCCCUUGUGGAUUGCGGGUACUCGAGUGGCGAACGGGUGAGUAACACGUGAGUGAUCUGCCCCCAACUUGGGUAUAAGCCUGGGAAACUGGGUCUAAUUCCCGAUAGGACUGCAGGGCGGUGCCUGUGGUGGAAAACGAUUUUCUAGUGGUUGGGGAUGAGCUCGCGGCCUAUCAGCUUGUUGGUGGGGUAAUGGCCUACCAAGGCGGCGACGGGUAGCCGGCCUGAGAGGGUGGACGGCCACAUUGGGACUGAGAUACGGCCCAGACGCCUACGGGAGGCAGCAGUGGGGAAUAUUGCACAAUGGGCGGAAGCCUGAUGCAGCGACGCCGCGUGGGGGAUGACGGCCUUCGGGUUGUAAACUCCUUUCGACCGCGAGGAAGCCACCUGGUUGGAAGGGUGGUGACGGUAGUGGUAGAAGAAGCACCGGCUAACUACGUG
rnacentral:rRNA from 1 species